UGCUUUUUGUGUGUAUACACGUGAAUGUAUUUAGCAUGUGCAGUUACACACACAUGUAGAGGCCAAAGGACAAGCUUGACUUGCACACCUUUACAAAAACCUUUAAAAAACCCAAGGUCUCUUGUUGUCCUGGCCUGACUGACACUUGCCAAGCAGCCGAGGCUAUUCAUCCCUCGGGCGCCAAGCAUCUGUCGGUCUCUGCUUCCCAGCCAGUGGAUUACAGCACACACCACCGCUCCGUGACCAUACACAUGCACGCUGGGACUGAGCACAGGUCCUCAUGUUUACAAGGUUUAAGACUAUCUGAGGAAAUAUGGGCGUUUGAACUGGACAAAAUCUGGACACCUUUGCUGUGAGUUAGACUGCGGAUACCUUUUUGAGAACAAGGAUAUAUACUUCCAUCUUCCUGGGGCUCACGCCUCCUGUUCACACACCUGUCUGAAUGCAGAUGUCAUUGUUUGGAAUUAAAGGUAUGUGCCAAAGGCAUGUCCAUAUUCCAGCCAGAGGGAUUAAAGAGCCUGAGAUAAAGCCUGGCAUCGUUCCAGAAUUACUAUACAUUAUUUUGGAGAACAAAAAUUGAGUCCUUGUUUUUCAUCCAACUUCACUGAAGACAAAGUGCGAUGUUAUUUAGAAGAAUGGACAAAAACCUUCAAAGCACAGGAACAUCCUGCUCUGUAAGUAGAACAGAGCUCUAGGCUGCCAUGAACAUUUAAGUGCCCGGUGGGCACAGAAGCUAGAGCUGGAGUUCCAUAGCCUUGGGCAGCUUCCUGAAAUUCUAUCUCGUUCUCCAGGUGCUGCUCUUCUUCCCGCGCUAGGAGGAAGCUCCGGGAGUCACAGCGACCCACACAGAAGUUAGUUUUCUCAAAAGAAAAAGGGAUAUUUGGUAUUUGAUGACCAGCUGGUGUGCUCUUUCCUGGACAAGAUGAAGAUGAAGACUUCUUUCAGCCAAGAAGGGAGUUGAGGGGAGACUGAGGUCAGACCGUACCUUGCUUGACCUUGACCAGGUCUACUAAAGUUUUCUCACCUCUUUCCCCUGUCCCUUUGUAAGUCGAUAUCAGAAGGGCUGUCUUGUUGUCACUGUCCCCUCCCCUUUUCUCUCCUAGUGUGGCCACAUUGUAAAAUUUCCCUGUUUUCCACCAUUUCUCAUCUGUUGGUGUCCUGGGAGGGGAGGCUUGUUCUAGCCAGAGACAGCUUUUGUUUUCUAUUCACAGGCUGCAAUUUGUCUAAAACUGAUCUCAGAUACCAAAGCCUUCAACAGGAGUUCCCACAUGUUUCCUUGGAAGAAAAAAAAAAAAACAUGAUGGAAUACAUGACCAGGAAUGUGUGUGAUGGACUAUUUUGAAAGUAAGGUUUUAAAAAUCAUACCCCAGAUUUAAUAAUUUCAAAAUAGAAUUCAUAUCACAAUAUUUCACAGAAUGCCUAAAUAUUGGUGGAACAAAAUGAAACAUUUGAAAGAACAAUCUGUAUUGUUAAGAGUACAGAUUUCUGUUUUUUAAACAUUUUCAGCAUCUAUAACAUUACUUUGUUCAUUAAUAGAAUCAUUGUAUUUGCUUGGUCAUGGUAGAUGUCUUUGUAUAGUCACUCUAAAUAAUGAUUCAUGAAAUGUUAUUUUUGCCUCUUUCAAAAAAAUGUAUGUAUACAAUAGUCAUCAAAGCUUUUCCAUGUCUUUUUCAAAGGAAAAUUUAUUUAAAAAUCCUACUGCCAAAUAUCUGUAUUUGGGUAGUAUCUUGCACAGGCACUAAAUUUAGAAAAAGUAUUUUUUUCCAUAUAAAAGUCUUUUAACAUUAACAACCUGCUUGUAACUAUCAAUAAUUUGGGAAAUGAUGGUUUUCUCUACAAUUUCUUUAUUCCACAGUGCUUAGGUAUGCAACCAAUACAACUUCAUUGAUAAAUCAAACUUGUCCAACUGCUGUUCAUUACAUAGCAGAUUAUGACAUCUUUCCUAUCUUAAUGAGUUUCCUCAGAACAAUAUAUUGUGGAGUGACUCAGAGACAAAAGCAUUUGAUGCCCAAUUGAGAGGACAGGAGUUCAGAUCCCCAGGACCUACAUAAAUGCAGGGUGGGCAUGGUGGCUUGUCUGUAAUUCAAACCUCAGAAGGCAGAGAUAGGGCAUCCCCAUUCGAGCUGGUUAACAAGGCCAGCCACAUUAGUAAGCUCUGUGUUUCAGAGACUCAGACUCCAAAGAAUCCAGGUCAGAGAGCAGAUUCCCAAUGUUAACUGGGCUCUAAAUGCAUGCCCACACUCCUGCGUAUCUACACACACACACACACACACACACACACACACACACACACACACACACUGUACACACAAGACCACACACAACUAAAAGGAAUGAACAAUUGUGAAAAGAGAAGAAACUAUUUAACCUUUUUGUUAAAUUAUGACCUCUGAUUGAGAUCAUUUUUCUCUGUUACUAUGUGGUUGACUUUGUUUUAUGAUAAUUUAAAAGAUUUUUAUUCACCAUAUAGAGGUUUUUUUAAGUAUAUGCAAUAUUGAUUGAUCCAUUUUUGAGUUAGAAAAAACAGAUAGAGUGAUUUUACUAAUAAGACUUUAUUUCCAUUUGAAAGCAAAAACCUCAGUUUCAGAUUUCAGUAAAAUAAGGAUGCUUUUAAAUUAUAUUUACCCUAUAAAAUAUGGGCUAUAAUGUAUGCUUAUAUCUAUGCCAUAUCACUACGAUGAAUUCAAAUUGAAGAUAUGUAGUAUCAGUGUUUCAAAAAACAAAUGUCAUUGAAAAUAUGAUUGUUUGGAACAGAAAAAUAAAGUGCAGUAAAAUCUUCAAUGGUGUUCUGUUUAGGAGGUUGUCUCCUAUGCCAAUGAGGUCAAGGCUCUUCCCCCACUUUUUCUUCUAACAGGUUUGUGUGUUUGGUUUUAUGUUGAGGUCUUUGAUCCAUUUGGAUUUUUUGUGCAAGGUGAUAAAUUCAGGCUCUAAGAUCAACAAUCAAUAAAUGGGACCUCAAGAAACUGAAAAUCUUUUGUAAAGCAAAGGGCACUGUCAUCUGAACAAAAUGACAGCCUACAGAUUGGGAAAGGAUCUUUACCAACCCUAUAUCUGACAGAGGGCUAAUAUCUAGAAUAUAUAAAAAACUGAAGAUGUUAAACAGCAACAAACUAAGUAAUCCAAUUAAAAAAUGGGGAACAGAGCUAAACAGAGAAUUGUCAACAGAAGAAUAUCGAAUGGCAAAGAAACACUUAAAGAAAUGGUCAACAUCCUUAUCAUCAGGGAGAUGCAAAUCAAAAUCAUCCUGAGAUUUUACCUUAUACCCAUCAGAAUGGCUAAAAUAAAGAACUCAAGUGGCAACACAUGCUGAAGAGGAUACCCUCUUCCAUUGAUGCUGGGAAUGUAAACUUGUACAACCACUUUGGAACUCAAUCUGGCACUUUCUCAAACAAUUAGGAAUAGUACUAUCUCAAGAUCCAGCUAUACGACUCUUAUGCAUAUAUCCAAAAUACGCUCAACUAUUCAACAAGGACAUUUGCUCAACCAUGUUUGUAGCAGCUCUAUUCGUAAUAGCCAGAAGCUGGAAACAACCUAGAUGUCCCUCAACGGAGGAAUGGAUACAGAAAUUGUGGUACAUUUACACAAUGGAAUACUACUCAGCAAUUAAAAACAAGGAAAUAAUGAAAUUUGCAGCCAAAUGGUGGAAACUAGAAAAGAUCAUCUUGCAGAGGUAUCCCAGAAGCAGAAAGACACACAUGGUAUUUUCUUUUUCUUUUUUUUUUCUUUCUUUCUUUCUUUCUUUCUUUCUUUCUUUCUUUCUUUCUUUCUUUCUUUCUUUCUCUCUCUCUCUCUCUCUAUCUCUCUCUUUCUAUUUUCAUUGUUGUUCUCUUGUAAAACUUAAUUGCAAAAAUGCUAUAAGAGACAUUGCAUUCAUAUGUAAAAUGGAGCUAGGUUCUAGAAUCAUGUAAACAAACUGGCUUUUCACCCACAUGAAAGUUCAUUGAGUGAGUCAUUUCCAAAUCAUGUGAGUCCUAAGAGACUUAUUUCCUUAAUGACAGCCCCAAGGUUUAACUGUGCUCUUUAUUCUACGCCUCCUCACUGUUUCCCAGUUCCAGAAACCUCUCUGCAAACCAAGAUAUCCAGAACUAUUCCUGCCAUUUUCUAAGACACCUCCUGAGACCACAGAGUCUUCGCUGAGAACUAAUUAAAUCACAGAAGACGUUUUAUUAGCUUGAAAGAACUACCCAUAAGCCUGCUGAAAUCUAAGUCAUUGACUCUUUUCUUCUCUUCUUCAGGUGGUAGGUUUGGGACUCCAAGAUACCUUCAUUUGUUUUUAAAGGGCUCUUUAGAAUUAUUUUAAGUAAACUUUUACGCUUAGAACAGAGGAUGUUUAGUGUGUGUGUGUGUGUGUGUGUGUGUGUGUGUGUGUGUGUAGUCAGUUCUCUUCUUCCUUGAUGUGGGUCUCAAGGGCCAAACUCAAGCUAUUAGACUUGGAAGGUGAGGCCUUUUUCUGCCGAGCCGUCCUGCUGGCCAACAGUAGGAGUUUUAAGGAAUGAUAGUAGAGAGUAUCAAAGUUUUCCAUAAAGCCUACUUUUGUCCUUCACAUCCUCAGUCAUAUGGCACAUUAGUUAGGGCUCACGAGCAAAGCUUGAUUAUUGGUGUUAAGUCAAAUGCACAUUUUGUUCAGGUUGCCUUAGUUUAUCAUAACUGUGAUUCCAGAGUUCCAUACAGAACACAUCAGGUCCUCACAACGUAGUUUCUGGGCUGUGAUAAUUUAUCUUUGUUUCUGAUCCUUUACAGUUUUGAAGAGUUCUGUCCAAGCACCAAUGCCCCUCACAUUGGUUCUGGUUGGUGUUUUUGUUGUGACAAGACUGAGGCCAUGGAUCUGUGGGAGGGAGAACACAGAGAAACUGUCAUCCACAUUCGUCAUUUUCUAGGAACCUUCAACUUGGCUUUGAUUGAUGUUCCUCUUUUCCUGGCCAGCAUUCUCACUUGUAGGUGAUCCGUGCUACCCUUUCUCCCCGGUGCUUUUCCAUGGUAAUUACUGAGCACAGCCCACACUUAUGGAGUGGGGAUCUUAUAGUUCUCGCGCUCCUUAAGAGUGGAAAGCUAGUAUCACAUUACAAGGAAUGCUUCCCAGGGAGUUUGCUUCGUUGCUGAUUUAUUUAAUCAUCUAUGUGAGUGUGGCCUCAUGGGUAUCUUCUGUUUUGGAUUGUAACACAGUGUAUUACUUUAGCUAUUCUGUUGUGCUUCUCCGCUCCCCAGCCCAUAUGCUCAUUAGUUUAGCUCGAAGGUGGUUUGGGCUUUGUCUAUUUUGGAAUAAAUUUUUUACUUUCUAAAGCAAUAGAUGCUCCACGUUCAAAUUGUAUAUUUUUUUUCUGUAAAUCUUGUAAUUAGAUAGAUCUUCAAGGAUCCUAGACUAUCCUCUUCCCUCCUUCUCCUCUUCUUUUCCCUUCCACCUCCAUUUCCUCUUUGUUUUUCUCUCCUUUACCUACUCUUCCUCUUUCACAGAAUUCUAUUAGAAAUCAAAAUCCAUGUGCCUGGGACACUCCUUGCACCUGAAUGUAAUCACUGCUAGACUUCCUCAGCAGUCACAGCAAGGAAAUAUCCAUGCACAUGCUGAUCUGUAUCUAUGCACGUAUCUAUAAACAUUUCUACAGCAUGCAGCUGCACGUAAACCAAAUGUGAAUUCCCACUGACGUUUCCAAUUCUAAUCCUUUAUCACCCAGAUUACACUUAGCUUUUUUUGUCUACCUACGUUUCCACAAAUUCUCAGUUUGAAAAUGAGAGACCUGGCUUAUCUCAAGUCAGCGGUGAACCCAUGCUUCUAUGAGAAAUGGUUUUAGAAAUCAAAGCACAGGUUAUUCACCCCCCUUUUAGUUUUAAUAUUACAAAUUUCAUCAGUCCCUAAGGUUGUUGAGAUUGCCACUGUUCCCUCCACCCCUUCAGUGACUUUGGUUGCAAUUAGGUUAUAUUCCGUGUCCUAAAUUCUCCCCUGCAUUACUUCUGAAUGGUUAUUUUCUAGUGAGUUAACUUUCAAUCGUUGUGCUGUAAAGUUGUAUAGGUUUUACCAAAUGGAGUGUAUCCAGAGUAAUGGUAUUUUAUACAACAGGUUUUAUUAUGCUAAAACUGGUUUCCUAGGACUGAAACCAGAUACUAUGUUGUCAUUUGUAACUUCUCUCUUUACCUUAACUAUGCCCAUUCAAUUUUCAUUUAUAUUUUUUAAAGCAAAUGAGUAAAACAAUUAUGGAAAAUUAUUUGGAUGUUGUAAAAAAAUGAAAAUAAAAUCACUGUCUGAUUUUGUAAUUCAAAA